UACGUAGGGUGCGAGCGUUAAUCGGAAUUACUGGGCGUAAAGCGCGCGUAGGCGGCUUUGCAAGUCGGGUGUGAAAUCCCCAGGCUUAACCUGGGAACUGCAUUCGAGACUGCAUUGCUAGAGUAUGGGAGAGGGAAGUGGAAUUCCUGGUGUAGCGGUGGAAUGCGCAGAUAUCAGGAGGAACACCGGUGGCGAAGGCGGGUCUCUGGGCAGUAACUGACGCUGAGGAGCGAAAGCGUGGGGAGCGAACAGG
rnacentral:rRNA from 1 species